UCCCAGACUCCUACGGGAGGCAGCAGUGAGGAAUAUUGGUCAAUGGUCGGGAGACUGAACCAGCCAAGCCGCGUGAGGGAUGAAGGUACAGAGUAUCGUAAACCUCUUUUGUCAGGGAACAAAGGCGGGGACGUGUCCCCGGAUGAGUGUACCUGAAGAAAAAGCAUCGGCUAACUCCGUGCCAGCAGCCGCGGUAAUACGGAGGAUGCGAGCGUUAUCCGGAUUUAUUGGGUUUAAAGGGUGCGGAGGCGCCCUUGUAACUCGGGGGGAGACGCCCGGGGCCCCCCCCCGCGCCGCCGUUGAAACUGGCAGUCUCGAGUUGGAGAGAAGUAUGCGGAAUGCGCGGUGUAGCGGUGAAAUGCAUAGAUAUCGCGCAGAACUCCGAUUGCGAAGGCAGCAUGCCGGCUCCACACUGACGCUGAGGCACGAAAGCGUGGGUAUCGAACAGGAUUAGAUACCCGUGUAGU
rnacentral:rRNA from 1 species